rnacentral:rRNA from 1 species
AACGAACGUUGGCGGCGUGGAUUAGGCAUGCAAGUCGAGGGCGAAAGGGGGCAACUCCGAUCGACCGGCGUAAGGGGUAGUAAGGCGUGGGUAACCAACCCUCCGGAUGGGAAUAGCUUCGGGAAACUGAAGGUAAUACCCAACGACGUUGCCGAGAGGCAUCUUUUGGCAACCAAAGGUGUGAUUCCGCCGGAGGACGGGCUCACGUGGUAUUAGCUAGUUGGUAGGGUAAUGGCCUACCAAGGCAUCGAUGCCAGGGGGGUGUUAGCGCACGACCCCCACCACUGGGACGUNAGACACUGCCCACGACACCUACGGGUGGCUGCAGUCGAGAAUCUUCGGCAAUGGGCGCAAGCCUGACCGAGCGACGCCGCGUGCGGGAUGG